AUGCCGUUGGUGGACCGGAUGCGCAAGAAGCUGUCCACCUGGAGGGCAUCCCUGUUGUCUCGCGGUGAGCGGCUCGCCCUGGUUCGACAUGUGCUCUGCGCCAUGCCUGGGCAUCUGCUCGCGGCUAUCGCCCUCAACGCCCACGUGCUCAAACUGGUCAACCGCCUCAUCCGUGAAUUCUUGUGGCACAGCAGGAAAGAUUCCGCUUCUGGAUACUACGCAGUUAACUGGCGCCGCGUCUGCAUGCCGCUGCAGCUCGGCAUCCGUGACCUGCGCCGCACUGGAAUCUCCCUCCGCACUCGCUGGCUCUGGCUUCAGGCCACGAACCAGACGCGCCCCUGGAGCCAUCUUCCUCCCCCUGCCGACCCCGAGACGCAGGCCAUCUUCCGUGCUUCCACCCGGUGGGAACUUGGCGAUGGGCGCACUAGCAAGUUCUGGACCAACCAUUGGGUUCAUGGCCAGUGCAUCGCCGAGAUCGCGCCGGCCAUCUUUGCUAUGGUGCCCAAGCGACGCCGCCAACGUCGCCUCGUGGCUGACGGACUCCGGGACCGGGCC
rnacentral:rRNA from 1 species